UACGUAGGUGGCAAGCGUUGUCCGGAUUUACUGGGCGUAAAGGGCGCGUAGGCGGUCUUCUAAGUCUUGUGUGAAAUCCCUCGGCUCAACUGAGGAACUGCACGGGAUACUGGAUGACUUGAGUUCGGGAGAGGGAAGCGGAAUUCCGGGUGUAGCGGUGAAAUGCGUAGAUAUCCGGAGGAACACCGGUGGCGAAGGCGGCUUCCUGGACCGAUUACUGACGCUGAGGCGCGAAAGCUAGGGGAGCAAACGGG
rnacentral:rRNA from 1 species